rnacentral:rRNA from 1 species
UACGUAGGGUGCGAGCGUUAAUCGGAAUUACUGGGCGUAAAGCGUGCGCAGGCGGUUUUGUAAGCCAGAUGUGAAAUCCCCGGGCUUAACCUGGGAAUGGCAUUUGGGACUGCAAGGCUGGAGUGUGGCAGAGGAGACUGGAAUUCCUGGUGUAGCAGUGAAAUGCGUAGAGAUCAUGAGGAAGACCAGUGGCGAAGGCGGGUCUCUGGACAGUUCCUGACACUGAGGCACGAAGGCCAGGGGAGCGAACGGG